CCCUGUUGAGCUUGACUCUAGUCUGGCUCUGUGAAGAGACAUGGGCGGUGUAGCAUAAGUGGGAGAAGCAAUUCGCCGGUGAAAUACCACUACGCCCAUAGUUUCUUUACUGGCUCGGUUAAGUGGAGAGCGGAACACAUUGUGGUUCCACGUUUCUUGAAUCAAGUGUUCGAGGCACGUUUUGUCUUCGGGCAGGCGUGUGUUUGCUCGGCACGAUCCCCUCCGAGGACAGUUUCAGGCGGGGAGUUUGACUGGGGCGGUACAUCUGUCAAAAGGUAACGCAGGUGUCCUAAGGCUAGCUCAGUGAGAACAGAAAUCUCACGUAGAGCAAAGGGCAAAUGCUGGCUUGACCCUGAUUUUCAGUACGAAUACAGACCGCGAAAG
rnacentral:rRNA from 1 species